AGAAUCAACGCUGGCGGCGUGCCUAACACAUGCAAGUCGAACGAGAAAGUGGAGCAAUCCACGAGUAAAGUGGCGCACGGGUGAGUAACACGUGACUAACCUACCCUUGAGUGGGGGAUAACCUAGGGAAACCUGGGCUAAUACCGCAUAAUACCUUCGGGUCAAAGGAGCAAUUCGCUUAAGGAGGGGUCGCGGCCGAUUAGUUAGUUGGCGGGGUAAUGGCCCACCAAGACUGUGAUCGGUAU
rnacentral:rRNA from 1 species